rnacentral:rRNA from 1 species
CGGUACGUACUGGCAUUGUUGGUUUCUCCCUUCUGACGAACCAUGAUGUCAUUUAUUUGGUGUUGUGGGGAAUCAGGACUGUUACUUUGAAAAAAUUAGAGUGUUUAAAGCAGGCUCACGCUUGAAUACAUUAGCAUGGAAUAAUGAAAUAGGACGUUUGAUUCUAUUUUGUUGGUUUCUAGGAUCGACGUAAUGAUUAAUAGGGAUAGUUGGGGGCAUUUGUAUUCAAUUGUCAGAGGUGAAAUUCUUGGAUUUAUUGAAGACUAACUACUGCGAAAGCAUUUGCCAAGGAUGUUUUCAUUAAUCAAGAACGAAAGUUAGGGGAUCGAAGACGAUCAGAUACCGUCGUAGUCUUAACCAUAAACUAUGCCGACUAGGGAUCGGAUGAUGUUAAUUUUUUAAUGACUCAUUCGGCGCCUUACG